rnacentral:misc_RNA from 1 species
UCCUGAUUCUCGCUGCUCAAGAGUUUCUCCAACACAAGCAAUGACUUUAAUGCCUUGAGAAAGUGCAUAUGCAACUUUAUCUCCUACAAACUCAUUGGACUCGUUCAAAAGAAGUCUUCUUUCAGAAUGCCCAAUAAUAACCCAAGGAAUUCCCAAAUUGACAAGCAUCUCAGCACUAACUUCUCCAGUAAAAGCACCACCCUUACGAACCCAACAGUUCUGAGCUGCAACAUGAAAAUCAGAUCGCAACAAACUCUGGACCAGGGAAAGAAACACGAAAGGUGGACUCACAACAACAUCGACAACAUCUCCCGAAGGAACUUGGGCUUCAUUCAACGUGGUGACGAUUUUCUUCACCUCCUCGGUUGUUCCGUUA